AAUGAUCUGUAUAAUCCCAUUAACUGUCUGGAAGCUCAAGCGUGGCCCGUCAGAAGAAAACCUCAGAACAGCAACAGUCAAAUGUUCAGGUGGACAAUGAGGAAUCUGAUUCCUAAUUCUCAGCUACAGCUCCUAUGCAGAAAAGACCCAGAAGAUGAGCAGACCUUGAAUGAAAUGGGAUUUAAGUCUUUUAGGAACAAAGGAAACCCUCUUCUGUUUGCAGACUGGCAAGCCUACUGAGGAAGUAAGACGCAUAUGUGUUUCUCUGCAUUUCUCUGCAGAAACAGACCAAUGUCCUUGAUAAGAAUUUCACAGACAGAAUGUAAGUUAGAAGACAAAUAUUAAUUAAUGAGAUUAUCUAGUACUACACAAAAGAAGUGGUUGUGGUUCUUCCAAAGUCUUAUGACAUGUCCAGAACUUUUGUACUGAUGGCUAACUGCAGUAUGACACUGGGGUGCAAAACUUGAAAGUUCUUAGGAUUUAUGUAUGACUGUAGCUUUGCAGGUUACUCUUUUUAAGUUUCAAGUUGUGGCUUGUCUACUUUGGGGUAUCAGGUGUAGUUGAGAAAUAAGUUAAUAUUUCAAUGAAAUUUAUUAUCCGCUGUCCACCUUUGUUGUUCCCCCUAAUGAGAGGGCUGCUGCAUAGUAUCGGGCUUUCUGUUUACAUUAUUUUUGUCUGUUCUGACUAUGAUGACGAUAGAAAACUCAUAUUUUGUUUAGGAUAGUACCACACAAUGAAUGUACCGGAUUGCAUGUAUGUGUCUAGAGGCACAAUCAGUUCAUGGCUGGGGGGAAGAGACUCUAGAUUUGUGAGUAAUGGAGGUGAGAAAUGCACCUAUGAAAGCAUUAAAUAACUCAGAAAUAAAGCAUGAUGGGGGCACCUACUUAAAAUACUAGACUGGUUGCCAGUAUGAUGAUCAACACAAUUUUCUGUGCUACUUAAAAUCUUUUUCUGUUUAUUGGCUGUAGUUAGAAGCUUAUAAACUAUCACGCAUGUAUUCCUAAGUCUUUGAAAUUCAAGUUUCUGUAGGCUUUCUUUGAGUUUCAUGUUCUUAGUAGAGGAGAGAAAUCACAAUAAUUACAGCUUAAAAUAUUCUCAUUUCAUGGUGUGGCUAACAAGUGAAACGACAAGUAAUGAUGUAAUCUAACAUGUCAAAAAAGAAAAUGAAAAGAGGAGACAGAAGGCAGGAUGGAGCCAAGGGAUGCGAUGUGCCAUGUCAUCUUCUAAUUAACUAACUGAUCCUUUAAACUGUCAAAAUCAGCAAGGAACUCCAUGGCCCGGUGUCUUAUUAAUAUUCAUAUUAGGCCAGUAGAAGCUAUGAUUCCAGUCCCAGUGGUUAUAGUUAAACAUUAAAAAAGAAAAGCCAGGCUAGCCAGGGCUGCAACAGCUUCACAUUCAUAAGGAAAUGAAGGCAGGCCACCCUGCUUCCUACAAACCUCUGCUGAGGGAAAUUCUCUGAGGGUGCAUAUUGAUUUCUGAAUUAUUAUGGGGCUGUAUAUUGAAAAAACAAUUAUUUUUCUUCUUGCUAUGAGCUGCCACAUUGUUAAUCACAUUGAGCUCCAUGUUGUCAAAUGAAAGAAAGAUGCACGUAACUUUUUGUAAUAUGAGCCCAUUUUUAAUUUUGCGCACAGCAAAUGUAUACGCAGUU